AUUGAACGCUGGCGGCAUGCUUUACACAUGCAAGUCGAACGGUAACAGGCCUUCGGGUGCUGACGAGUGGCGAACGGGUGAGUAAUGCAUCGGAACGUACCCGGAGGUGGGGGAUAACGCAGCGAAAGCUGUGCUAAUACCGCAUGUGAUCUGAGGAUGAAAGCGGGGGACCGAGUAGCAAUGUUUGGCCUCGCGCCUUUGGAGCGGCCGAUGUCGGAUUAGCUAGUUGGUGGGGUAAAGGCCUACCAAGGCGACGAUCCGUAGCUGGUCUGAGAGGACGACCAGCCACACUGGGACUGAGACACGGCCCAGACUCCUACGGGAGGCAGCAGUGGGGAAUUUUGGACAAUGGGCGCAAGCCUGAUCCAGCAAUGCCGCGUGCGGGAAGAAGGCCUUCGGGUUGUAAACCGCUUUUGGCAGGAACGAAACGGUGUCCGCUAAUACCGGGCGCUAAUGACGGUACCUGCAGAAUAAGCACCGGCUAACUACGUG
rnacentral:rRNA from 1 species